UGGAUAAGAUGGAGGCUGACAUCAAUGAGCUCAAAGAGGCAAAAGAGGAGCCUGCUUCAAAGAAAUUAAAGAGAGCUGGGAAUAAUUCUGUUGCGGAAGCUGUAUGGAGAUUGCACAAUGGGGAAAACAACAUACACAAAUAUGACCCACAGACAAGUCUAUCCUACCCCCACAACCUUGAGGUCAUAACC